rnacentral:rRNA from 1 species
GCCUACGGGGCGCAGCAGUGGGGAAUAUUGCACAAUGGGGGAAACCCUGAUGCAGCGACGCCGCGUGAGUGGAGAAGUAAUUCGUUAUGUAAAGCUCUAUCAGCAGGGAAGAAAAUGACGGUACCUGAGUAAGAAGCCCCGGCUAACUACGUGCCAGCAGCCGCGGUAAUACGUAGGGGGCAAGCGUUAUCCGGAUUUACUGGGUGUAAAGGGAGCGUAGACGGCAGGGCAAGUCUGGAGUG